GACGAACGCUGGCGGCGUGCUUAACACAUGCAAGUCACGGGGGCUCGCAAGGGCAACCGGCGAACGGGUGCGUAACACGUGAGCAACUUACCGAUUUGUGGGGGAUAGCCGGCCCAACGGCCGGGUAAUACCGCAUACGCUCUUUGGGUGGAGUCACCUGAAGAGGAAACCUCCGGGGCAAAUCGAGGGGCUCGCGGCCUAUCAGCUAGUUGGUNCGGGUAACGGCCCACCAAGGCGAUGACGGGUAGCGGUCUGAGAGGAUGGCCAGCCACAUUGGGACUGAGAAACGGCCAGACUCCUACGGGAGGCAGCAGUGGGAAUCUUGCGCAAUGCCGAAAGGCUGACGCAGCGACGCCGCGUAGUGGGAGGAAGC
rnacentral:rRNA from 1 species